rnacentral:rRNA from 1 species
UGGGGAAUAUUGCACAAUGGGCGAAAGCCUGAUGCAGCGACGCCGCGUGAGGGAUGACGGCCUUCGGGUUGUAAACCUCUUUCAGCAGGGAAGAAGCGAAAGUGACGGUACCUGCAGAAGAAGCGCCGGCUAACUACGUGCCAGCAGCCGCGGUAAUACGUAGGGCGCAAGCGUUGUCCGGAAUUAUUGGGCGUAAAGAGCUCGUAGGCGGUUAGUCGCGUCUGCUGUGAAAACUCGAGGCUCAACCUCGGGCUUGCAGUGGGUACGGGCUGACUAGAGUGCGGUAGGGGUGACUGGAAUUCCUGGUGUAGCGGUGGAAUGCGCAGAUAUCAGGAGGAACACCGAUGGCGAAGGCAGGUCACUGGGCCGCAACUGACGCUGAGGAGCGAAAGCAUGGGGAGCGAACAGGAUUAGAUACCCUGGUAGUCCAUGCCGUAAACGUUGGGCACUAGGUGUGGGGUCCAUUCCACGGAUUCCGUGCCGCAGCAAACGCAUUAAGUGCCCCGCCUGGGGAGUACGGCCGCAAGGCU